AAAACAAGUCCAUGAAAUCAGAAGGGUCCAGAUGCGGGCCGAGGGUCACUGGUACCCCUCCUCCUCCCCGCAGGGAGCCCAGGUGACCAGCACCCUGCCAGGCGAGGGGGGACAUUGGGGGGUCACAUGACUGUAUGAAGUCCCUGAGGAUCCCACACCAGCUCCAGUGGAAAGGAUGUGACACUCAGGAGCCCGGCGGUUGGAGGGAAUAAUUAAACUUCAGUGUUUCUGUAAACACAGGCAUUUCCAAAGCAGGCUACUAUAUGCACUGGCUCUGUCCCCGAUUCCUUCUCCCCUUCAGAGCUCCGGGUGCCUAUGAGGACAGAGGCACCUGAAGGGCGCAAGAUGACCCCUGCUACCUUCUCCUUUGCUGGCAUUUGCUGGCGAGUCGGUCCAAGGCCCCUAUGGCCUCUACACCAGUCCACCUGCAUUCCUAGGAUGCUCUAAGUUCCACACUUGUGGCCUCCAAUGCCCAGGGCUCCCCCUCCACCUCCCUGCCCCUCCCCCCAGGGUCCUCUGAGCUCUACAGAAGUCUGGCCUGUCCAGCAACUGGCAGAUCCUCCACUUGGAGAGGCUUCACUGCCCCAGCUCCCCUGAAGCCUGGCCUUUAGAAUCUGCAAGCUUUCCUCUAAGAAUUUCAGAAGCCAGAGGAGGAGGCCCGGGACAGAGAAGAGGGAGGGUAUGGUUACUCCAAGGACAGGGGCUCCUUCUGUCAGAGUUAAAAAUAAACUCUUAGCAAUUUACACCCAACUCCUCCCUUCAGAAGCCAAUGGGCCUUGGCAGAUAAAUCUCUCCCCGCAGAGAAAAUGAGGCCCCAGGGGGACAGACAGGAGAAAGCAGUCCACAGAGACACAGUCCAGUAUGUAACUCGAGCUGAAGCCAGAGGGCCCCCCAAGACCUACCUCAGCUCCUAUUACCCUCCCUCACACACCUCUUCUCCCAAACAAACCUCAGUCUCAGAAAAAAAGAUGCAGAACCCUUGUUUGCAUGGUUAGUACCAACACCUGUCCAAGGAUUAGGAAAAUCAGAAAGAAUGUCAAAGUCAAGGUAAAAGAAAUGGUCCACCCAGUAUCUAUCAUGCUGUCACCUAGCAUCUCUGUUCUGCUUCCUCGCCUGCCCAGGAUCCCCAGGCAGGAAGGGAAGAGGCCACCCCACUGGGCUUCGAUGAACAUGGAUCAGCAACAACCCUGCCCCCACAGUCAGGAGACAGAAGAGACCGGUGUUCUCUGUGAUAUCCUGCAGGUGGCAAAGCUGAAAAGGCUGGAGGAGCCAUGCCUGACUCGGGAAGGAGGGCCCAAGAGCCAGGGCCCAGUAACCAGGGCCCAGUUACGCUUGGAGGCGGACAGUAUGAGGUCACAUCUCUGAGCGUGGUUCAAAAGAAUCAGUGGGGCCGAGUCACGCAGAGAGAAGGCCCCCUUUGUUCCCCUCAUCUGCUAGGAGACAGGAAAGCCUUGGAAUGGUGGCCACCCAGCGUCUGCCUUGGGCCACCACCCCUCACCUUCCAGAUGAGCGCUAGAUGGCCGCUGGCCACGGAGAUGCCUGGAACGUCCGUCCCUUCAGAGGCGCAGCCUGCACAGCCAAUCCCCGCAGCCUUGUUUGGACCCACACCUCAAAUGGGAACAAAGUUCCAGAACACGAAGAGUUCUUGCUCUCCACCCUGAGACCCCACGACACUAGGAUUCUUCUGCCCUCAAGGUAAGAGGAGACCCCCGCCCCGCCCCGAGUUACACAGCCCAUGCUCUCCGCCGAGGCGCCCGCUGGAACGCUUGCCAACGCUUGCCAAGUCUUCCCACGAGAGAAGGAGCAGCUGGUCGGCGAUGAGUAUUAAUUAACUGGACGCAGCUACCGUGGAGCCCAGCAUCAAGCCUAUCAUAGGGGCAUCCCCGCUGGCCCCGGCACUGCUGAUGGUCCGACAGGGAGCAGGUUGGGCACAGCCUUCCACCCCGUACCCCCCCCCCACCCCACCCAUGCCAGUGCUCAGGAGCAAUUGGGAGCCUGACCUCAGACACAGGCACCAAAGCCUGGGAAAUUUAACUGACCUGUUCAAGGUCACAUGACCAGUUAGCAGGGCACAUACACUGGACAUCAUCUUUUCCUUUCUUAGCUAGUACAUGACCAGUAAUAACAGACUCAUCUUCAUAAAUCUGUACCCAUAUAUAUCCUAAAAUGCAAAAUAUCAGUAUCCAGCUAAUGAUGAGAAAAGGUACCAAAUCUGAUUUAGGUUUUACCCCUGGUGUACGGUAAGCUGCCCAGGGGCAUGGCCCCUUCUCUCCACCAAUGUCCCCAUCAUUAAGGUGACCUAUGUAGAAAAAGCCCAGGGAGCAGUUAGUUCAGCUCAGUUUUGCCCUGCAAGGGCCACAGUCCCAAUACUACUACCUGUAGCAACCAAAACAUCACGGGAACCGAGACUGAGGGAAGAUCCCAGGGAACUGCAUCCCUGAUGAAGACCAAGGGUAAGACCUGGGAACCCUUCCUGCCUGGCCUCACCUCCCACUCUGGUGAGAUGGAAGGAGUCAAGAAAGAUGCCCAGGGAGUGUCAUCAGCUCUAAGGUGCAAUGAGGUAUGGGACUCUUCCGCACGGGCCUUAAAUCAUUACCAAGAGCAGCUGCGGCCCCUUGGAACACUAAGAACAACUCUGCCCUGCCCGCCCCUCCCUCCUGGAACACUGAAGCAUCUGCAAGGAUGUAGUCCGGGAAAGACAGGGAAAAAGAGACCCUAUGUGGCCCUUGGAAGGGCCCAAAGUGGAAGAGAGGAAGCAAGACCUCCAACCAUCAGGGAGAGUUCUGAAUCAGAGCCCUGAGGGCCUCCUGGUAAGGACUCCAAUGCAGACACCAGUGCCCUGUCCUUCCCCACUGUGGCUGACAUUCCUCCUGGGAUUUGCAGGUGACAGGAGCUUUGGCCUCUCCUCCAACCCAGGAGCUGGCCAGGGAUUAAAUCUGCAGUCCCAAAGCUUGGCCCCUCCAGACCUCUCCCUGAAUCCCUGCACCUGCUUCUUAGGGAGAAUCGUCAACUGAUGAUGAGUCGACUCCUCUGGUCCCAAGCAGUCAAAACAUGUUAAUCGUGGGCCCCGAUACCGUCAUGCCCCCCUGAAAAGGAGCCUCUUCAUUUCCCAGGCACCCACCAACAUCUGGUCCCGAGGCCUGGGGCUGCUUUUCUCCCCCUUUCCAUCAGCCACUGAUCCCAGAUCUUAGCUGGAAACUAUUUUCAAGCUCCAUCAAAGCCCAGAAUUCACAAGUGAAAAAGGACCCUACGUUGAUCCACCUUUGAUCCUGCCUCAGCGGGCGCCAAGGCCCCACGAGAGGGAGGGGGUCUCUGAAACCAGAAACUAGACCUCCCUGGUCUGAACCUCUGUGAUCUGUCACCCUUCUUUACAACAGCCUGUUAGUUUACUUCAUGCCCCACAAAUACUGUAAAGCCUGCUUUUAAUACAAAGCUAGGUUCGCCUCAUUUCUGGGCCAGCAGCCCUACACGCUCCCUGCCCACCUGGUCUCCUGUUCUCCCCUCAGGGCCAGGGUCACCAGCCCCUCCUACAAAUCUGCUUAAACUUCAGAGGCCCAGCAAUGAGCCCUCCGUGGCUCCUAGGCUCCUCACAGAUUUCCCUUCCAAAACUCUUCUAUCCCCAACCACACAGUUUCACCUCUAGAUCAGCACAGUCCAGUAGAACUUUCUACGAGGAUGAAUCUAUUCUUCCAAGCUAUCCCGUUCAGUAGCCAGCAGCCGUGCGUAGCUUCUCAACACUUGAAAGCUGGCUGGCUGAUUUUUUAUUUAAUUUAUAUUAAUUAAUUUUAGCUUAAAUAACUGUGCGUGGGUAUUGGCAACCAUACUGGACAAUGCAGAAUCCAUCUGUUAAUCCUGCCUUCUCCAAAUCGGUUUCUUGACCCCCUAAAUUUUAAGGCAUUUUUUACGUCUGUAUCUCUGUAUCCUCUACACCACCAAGCAUAUGGUAGGAUGCUCAGCGAAAUGUCAACAACCUAUAACCACAGUGGAUUUAAAAGAGACUGAUUUGGGUGUCGGUCAGUUAAGUGUCUGACUUGAUUUCAGCUCAGGUCAUGAUCUCAGGGUCAUGAGAUCGAUCCCCUCCUUGGGAUCCACACUGGGCCUGGAGCCUGUUUGAGGCUCUCUCUCCCCCACCUCUCUUUCUUUAAAAGAAAAGAGGCCAAUUUAGUCAAUGAAACUGUCCCCCCAUGUAAUUCCAACCAGCAAAGACAAUUUGGGGACACUGCCCCUCACACAGCCAGGCUACCUAUCCUGCUCCCCAGGAGGUGCUCAGCAUGAGGUGUGCUGAGCAGGAUGCAGCCUGUACUUCGGGGCCGUGGGAGCGCCUGUGUUCCCCUCUGCAUCCAGAACAACCACGGGAGGUUCCGAUUAUCUCCCCUUCAGAACACCAUAGGAAGCCACACCACAGUGACACAAAGUGACCUAGGGAGGGAGAACCAUAGGAGAAAGGAAAGGAGACGACAUCACAGGACCUUGUUUUCUCUAAUCCACGCAAUGGAAAGAUAAACAGAGAUAAGGUAUGAUAACAGUCUAUAUUUUGUACGGCAAUAAUAUGCUUCAACUAAUCAGAGUCACACAGCAGAGAGGGACAACGGUGCCAGCUUUAAUUAAAUUUGUUCAGCUAAUACCCAAGAGUCACCAUGACACAGAGCAGCAGGAAGCAGCUGAGGAACCCCCCGGGGAGUACAACCAAUUAUUACACAAGUGGAUUGAGACUAGGUGUCCUUACCAAAGAAAGAGUUAGGAGAAUUCCCACAUUCUUAUACAAAAAAAUAAUAAGUACGAUUUCUAUCAAACGCUCCCUCCAAGGGGUGGAGGUGGUGUAAAAAAAAAAUUUUUUUUAAAAGUUCAUUACCCAAUUUAAAAUUCAUGAACCGGGAUCCCUGGGUGGCGCAGCGGUUUGGCGCCUGCCUUUGGCCCAGGGCGCGAUCCUGGA